CCUAACUUGUAGAAAAGUUUAGUGCGGAAGAAGUUGUGAAAAUGUGGAGAUGAAAACCUAAGAAGCUAAAAAUAGAUGCAAGAAAAUGUAUCAAAUUAACCAACAUGUUAGCUGCUGUUAGCCGCUGCACGUGAACAGUAGUACCAGCAACAACUAGUAACCAGGCCUCACAGUCAUAGGAGGCUCCUGCUGCUAGCACCAGCUGUAGAGAAGGGAGGAAGAUGAAAUUAACGUAAGAACAUAGCUGCGGGGACGUAAUUCGGAAGAGUGAUUGAUUCAAGGACAUUCAGGGUUGCAGCUGUAAUACCCCCUUGGCUCUGGAACAAUCUGCCAGAUCGGCUGAAGCAGAAGCAGGAUACAGACACAGAGGAGCCUCUUUGAACGGCAGCAUCGCCGCGCUUAAGACAACAAGCACUGCCUUAAAUGCAUCUCUCAGUGUCCUGUUAUUUUCUGUGGGAAAGUCAGACUGGACCCAAGAUGCUGCUUAUCUGAGGUUUCAAAUUUAUUGGAUGAGUCUGUUUUCUUACAUAUGACAAUAUGUAGGCCAUAGGUUUUAGUUCUUUUGUCGCGCUGUAGCUGUUUGAAUCCUCCAGCUUCUUAUCAAUUUUCAUUUGGGCUAAAUUUUACUCCGAAUUCCUUCUCAAUAACUAUAUUAAAAAUGUUGAAAGUAUGGGGAAAAUCUUCUAAGAUGACAGCUGUUUGCUCCACUUUGUGUUGUAGAGGUGGAUUUUCUUCUCAGAGGAAAUGUAAAUGUUCAGAUAGUUUAUUUACUCUGGCAGCCUGGCGUACAUCUCCUCUGUCUGGUGAAUUGCGUUUGACUGUUUAAAAGGAUGAUUUGCGUGAAAGGGCUAAAAUAAUGGCAUUAUAUUUUUAGAUUCAUCUCGUCCCGGCUUUGCUGGUUUUUUUCAUCAACUUUCACAGCUUCUGUAAUUUCAGUGCAAUUUCAGGCUCUGAUUGCUCUGUUGCUUGAAUGCUAAUCAUUGCUAGUGUAUAACUUCAUUUCUUUUUGGCUCUUUAUGCAUUUAAGGAAAUGUCAUUUAAUAAAGAAAAUGAAAAAGUUCGGAGAGGUUUGUAAACAGAUUGCACUCCUCAGAGAUGCGCACACAACAACGACGCGGGGACGUCUGCUUCUGCAGGACUGUGUUUUACAAAACAACUCUUCAGAGCGCUGCACCCCAGCUGCCUAUUUGAUUUGAUUUUUUUUUUUUCAUGAAAAAAAAUGUUCUGUGCCUUUAUGAGGACAUCUUGGCUGACAUUUGUCUGAGCGUAGGGUUUUUUUAAAAAA